CUUCUGAUGCUGGCGUGACAAGAACAUGCUCUGAGUGAUCACUGGUCCUCGUUAGAGAGACCUGGAGACCCACAGACUGAAGCAGGGCUGCUCCAGCCAACUUGCAGAACUGUACAGGAGAGAACUGUCCCUGCGAGCCGCUAAGACUGAAAGAUGACUUGUUACACAGCACUGUUACUAUAGCAGAGGUGCUGAGUUAUAAACCAAGAGCUUCGGCUGAAGAGCGGCCGUCUCCUGACACAUGCCCCGCACCCCACCUCCCGUCCUGCACACUCCUGGACAGCCUUUCUCAACAGUCCCUGCCUGAGCUGCUCCGGUGGCCGUGGCCAGAAGCCUAGAUGACAAGAGACAGAACAGCUUGUUUUUACGAAGCUGGGAAUGAUCCCAAAGAUGUCACAAAAGUGAUGAUGCCACAGGAGAGAGAGGGACUGUUGCUGGAGUGAGGACCGUGGUUGGUGGAAGGCACUGUCUGGUGUCCAGAGGAAAGCCUGGCUCAGAAGCGCCUGGAAACACUCAGAAACGCCUGGUCUACCUGUGGAAAAGGCAGUUUAUGGGCCUGGCUUGUCAGGGAAAUAAAGAAGAGUGGCCGGACCAGCACACCCUUCAGUUAUCUCUGCCUUUGUCCUUUUUUUACAGCUUGGGUAAGUUGUAAAACACUGAUAACGAUGCAAAUAAUUCCUGUCCAUCGAAAUGCAAAUGAAGUGUGAUUCCUGGAAAGCAAUUUAUUACAGCCCUGUGGACAGGUGGGUUUUGCAUCUAUCUGGAAAUUCAUUUCAGAGUUCUUUUUUGUGAUUCUUUCAAUUCACCUUUAAACCACUUGUAACAUUUUACUGGUUCCCUCAUUAAUUAAUGAGCUAAAUAAGCUAUUUGGCAGGUGUUCAUUUUAUAGGUGUGUAAGAGUCAUUAUUGUACCUUAAAAAUAUCCUUUUCAAGAUGUCAAUAGAUGCAAUGAAAUAAAAAUCAUAUUUUAUGGCAAGAUGAGAAAGAUCUAAACAAAAUUCUUCUUUGCCUGAUUGGGCCUCCUCCUCCCCUUUUGUGUGGACUGUGUGGUGCACUCACCAGACCUCCUAAGGACAGAACAUUCCUUCUUAAUC